UACGAAGGGGGCUAGCGUUGCUCGGAAUCACUGGGCGUAAAGAGCGUGUAGGCGGCCAAGCAGGUCCGCUGUGAAAACUCGAGGCUCAACCUCGAGACGUCGGUGGAAACCGUUUGGCUAGAGUCCGGAAGAGGAGAGUGGAAUUCCCGGUGUAGCGGUGAAAUGCGCAGAUAUCGGGAAGAACACCCGUGGCUAAGGCGGCUCUCUAGUACGGUACUGACGCUGAGACGCGAAAGCGUGGGGAGCGAACAGG
rnacentral:rRNA from 1 species